GCCACUGUGGUGGAGAUUCUAAGGCGACAGACUUGAAAUCUGUUGGGAUCUGCCCGCACAGGUUCGAAUCCUGUCGGCGACG
rnacentral:tRNA from 1 species